GCUUCCGUGGCUCAGGGGUAGAGCGUCUGCCUAGUAUCGGACAAUCCGAGCUUUACAGCAGAAGGUCGGCGGUUCGAAUCCGUCCGGAAGCA